GGGGAUGUAGCUCAGCUAGGCAGAGCGCCUGGCUCAUAACCAGGUGGUCAUCGGUUCAAACCCGGUCAUCCCCA
rnacentral:tRNA from 1 species